AUGCUUUACACAUGCAAGUCGGACGGCAGCACAGGGAAGCUUGCUUCUCGGGUGGCGAGUGGCGAACGGGUGAGUAACAUAUCGGAACGUACCGGGUAGCGGGGGAUAACUGAUCGAAAGAUCAGCUAAUACCGCAUACGUCUUGAGAGGGAAAGCAGGGGACCUUCGGGCCUUGCGCUAUCCGAGCGGCCGAUAUCUGAUUAGCUGGUUGGCGGGGUAAAGGCCCACCAAGGCGACGAUCAGUAGCGGGUCUGAGAGGAUGAUCCGCCACACUGGGACUGAGACACGGCCCAGACUCCUACGGGAGGCAGCAGUGGGGAAUUUUGGACAAUGGGCGCAAGCCUGAUCCAGCCAUGCCGCGUGUCUGGAGAAGGCCUUCGGGUUGUAAAGGACUUUUGUCAGGGAAGAAAAGGCCGUUGCCAAUAUCGGCGGCCGAUGACGGUACCUGAAGAAUAAGCACCGGCUAACUACGUGCCAGCAGCCGCGGUAAUACGUAGGGUGCGAGCGUUAAUCGGAAUUACUGGGCGUAAAGCGGGCGCAGACGGUUACUUAAGCAGGAUGUGAAAUCCCCGGGCUCAACCCGGGAACUGCGUUCUGAACUGGGUGACUCGAGUGUGUCAGAGGGAGUGGAAUUCCACGUGUAGCAGUGAAAUGCGUAGAGAUGUGGAGGAAUACCGAUGGCGAAGGCAGCCUCCUGGGAUAACRCUGACGUUCAUGUCCGAAAGCGUGGGUA
rnacentral:rRNA from 1 species